rnacentral:rRNA from 1 species
GCAUGCUACCAGACCUCGACGGCGGAAGCUCCGCCGGUCUUCUGACCACGGCCGACUAGCCGCCGUCGGGCCAGCAUCGCGUGGGCGCGCCGGACAAAGGCGCGGGGAAUGUGGCCCCCCUCUGGGGGGGUGUUAUAGCCCCGCGUGCGAUGCGGCGCCGCCCGCGCGAGGUCCGCGCUUCGGCUAGGAUGCUGGCGUAAUGGUCGCAUGCGGCCCGUCUUGAAACACGGACCAAGGAGUCUAACAUCUGUGCGAGUGUUCGGGUGUCAAACCCCUACGCGGAAUGAAAGUGAACCGAAGGUGGGAGCUUCGGCGCACCAUCGACCGAUCCUGAUGUCCUCGGAUGGAUUUGAGUAAGAGCAUAGCUGUUGGGACCCGAAAGAUGGUGAACUAUGCCUGAAUAGGGUGAAGCCAGAGGAAACUCCUGGUGGAGGCUCGCAGCGGUUCUGACGUGCAAAUCGAUCGUCAAAUUUGGGAUAGGGGCAAAGACUAAUCA